rnacentral:rRNA from 1 species
CACGUAGUUAGCCGGUGCUUAUUCUUCAGGUACCGUCAUUAGCCGAGGAUAUUAGCCCCGACCGUUUCUUCCCUGACAAAAGAGCUUUACAACCCGAAGGCCUUCUUCACUCACGCGGCAUUGCUGGAUCAGGCUUGCGCCCAUUGUCCAAAAUUCCCCACUGCUGCCUCCCGUAGGAGUCUGGGCCGUGUCUCAGUCCCAGUGUGGCUGGUCGUCCUCUCAGACCAGCUACUGAUCGUCGCCUUGGUGAGCCUUUACCUCACCAACUAGCUAAUCAGAUAUCGGCCGCUCCAGGAGCAUGAGGUCUUGCGAUCCCCCACUUUCAUCCUUAGAUCGUAUGCGGUAUUAGCGUAACUUUCGCUACGUUAUCCCCCACUCUUGGGUACGUUCCGAUAUAUUACUCACCCGUUCGCCACUCGCCGCCAGGUUACCCCGCGCUGCCGUUCGACUUGCAUGUGUAAAGCAUGCCGCCAGCGUUCAAUCUGAGCCAGGAUCAAA